UACUCCAAGAAAUAAGCCCCAGUUAAGUGAAACCCCACCCUCCACAAUUGUGCAGCAACCAGAAGAUGACAUGACUGUACAGUAUUUGGAUAAAUAUAGAUUGUUGUACAUGAAAAAAAUUGCCUGGAAAUAAGCCCUAAUGCGUUUUUGAGCAAACACAGUAGAUACUUCAUUUGAAGGAGGUGGGAACACUUUGACUUCAGUAAAGUUACUUUGUGAAAACAUUAUGAAUGGCAACAUAAUGAGCAAAUCACAUUAGGUUUAAAUUCACAGUCAUAUUAUCUUUGUGUUGUGUUUUUAAAUACACCUACAGUAAUUGGUUUUCCUAGAGGUAUACUUGACAGCCCCUCAACCUCAUGGCUGAUGAUCACACAACCAGUAGAGUUGGGGGCUAUUCAACACUUUGUUGGAAGGCAAAGGCCAGGAUGCAUCUAACACUAAAACAAACAAAAGGUUUCAGCCAAAAUCUUCACCACUUUUCUAAUUUCAGUGAGUCACAUUUUUAACUAUGUCAGAUUGGGACAAACUAAAGAACAGAACUGAAAUAAGGAAUAAGUUCUCUUUUUUUCUUUUACCUCUCUUUACUUGAAAUCUGAGGGGCUUACAUGUUUGUUAUAAUAAAUUGUUUUCUUGGUAACCUAAACAUUAUUAACAUGCUUUAGAUAAAGGUCAUUUUCUUUUAACAAAUACUAAGGCAACACAGGAAAAUUCACUCCUAAAUUAAAAAUGUCAGCUUUAAGGUUCUGCUUACUCAGACUGUAAAUUCACCAUUUAGUAUACCCAGGAAAAUGAUAAGCUUCUACAGUACUAACACUCAGUAAGUUUAAAUCCCAUUUUAAGUAGCCAUGUUUAUCUUUUAAAAGAGGUUUGCCAUAAUUAAAGAUGACACUAUUAUAUGAGGUUCUGCGGUUUUCUGAAUAUUAAGCAUUUUUAUAAACGUCUUUUUACAGCUUGCUUUCUUUAGCAAUCUGAAGAAAAUCAGAGACUUAUAUGAGAAUAUGAUAAAGGAAAUACCAGUUUCACCAAACGGUGCUGGGGUCGCAUGCAGCUUGAAUCAAAGAAUGAAGACUCAGCUGGACCUCAUGCAAAUAGCAUGCAGCCAUGGGAAUCAGUCAGAAUGCAAACAAGUGCAGAUGGAUACAACAGAUAUAGUUAAUGAUAUCUUAGCCUUGAACCUCACUGCUGUUGAUCUGGAUGUUGUUAAAGACAUUCCUUCCAGAGAUGUUGAACAUUCUAUCUCUGCAAGCCCUGGAAGCAAACUGGAAGUUAAGGAAAAUGUACAGAAAACAACUUAUCCAGUGCCAGGAGAGGAUAUCAUUUUGGAUAAUGGUAGGAGGAUUCCUACUCAGUAUAUGUCACUUUCUGCUGCAACUGAAUUUGGACGCAUGAGUCAUGAGGAGAUGCGUUAUAACUAUUAUAUGAAACAUCAAGUGUGUUUAGAUGAAUUACAGGCACAGAUCUCUCCUCAAAAUGAAAAUUUUCCAUUAUUGAAAUGUUUGUCUUCAAAGAGCGCAACUUCAAGAUUUGUUCCUUCUUGUCUUAGUGCUAAAGCAAAAAAUAAGAAAAAAAUCGCAACAUUACAGAGACCAUGUUUUAGUGAAUCUGGUGUGUCUAAUCCACUUGGUUUUACAUUCAAUGCAGAAGCAAUGAACUUCAAUUUCUGUAGCUCAAACAAUAAACUGAAUCUUCAAAGAGUGAAUCAGUCUCAGAAUGAUGCCAAGGAAACUUCCCAAUCAGCAGUUAGCAAUAGCUGUCAAAAUACAACAAAAUUACUUCAACCUCAUGUAGUAACACUUUCUUCUGAAGACCUCAUCUCAUCUACUGUAUUUCCAAAAGUAUCUGAGUUAGCAGCAGUAUCUGUUGCUGCUGUAAACCCAUGUAUUUCAGGUGCUGUGUCAGGACAUUCAGCUUCACCUUUCAUUUUUGGUCCAAGUGGCAAUUUGGGAACAACUCCUUCAAGUAAGAAAUCGUCUGUAAUGUUUGAAAAAGAAAAGGUGGCUUUCUCCACUCUUUCUCUGGUUAGAUCUGAAAGCCAGGAUUGCAACAUAAACAAUAUAAAUGUUUAUAAUUCAACAAAUGGUUUCUUGACAGUUGCUACCACUGUCUCUACCAUCAGUCCAAAGUCUGGUACAGCUGUAAGUGGAAAUCCUUUCUUAUCUACUUUUCCUGCUAAUUCUGAAAGUGAUUCUUGUCAGACAACUACAGUGAGCAGCAGUUCAGAGCAAAAGUCAUUUUCAUAUUUGAUUGCUGAUCAGAAGAUACUACAAGGAAACAAAGCAGUUUGCUUCAGGAAACAGAAUAAUGAGGGUAAUAGUUGGGUCACAUACUCUGCCAUUGACUCUAAUAAGCACUUAAUAUAUAGCUCUAAUGAUGCUUUCUCCAUGGCCUGCACAACAUCCAGUUUUACUGCUUCUCAUAUGAUAGAUACUUCAGAAAAGCAGCCUAUACCUGAUAGUGUCUCCUCAAAGAAUGACUGUUCCACAAAUGGCAUUCAUCUUUUACCUUUGAAAAGAGGCAACAAAAAUUGUGGUGAUACUUUAAUCUCCAUAAAACCUUUAAAGAAAAUUGAAUGUGCAACUGAGAAAUCAAAAGUGAAACCUGAAGACAAAAAUGUAACUGUACAAAGAUCUGUGCCUUCAAAAAAAGAUGUAGCUGCUUAUAAAGAACUGAAAGACAUAAGGAACUGCUCUUCCUUGGCUUCUAUCAACAAGUGUCCAAAAGCAAAAACUUGUAGUGUACUAGUUCCUCAGCAAAAUGUAGCCCAUGAUCUUACUGUAAACAGCACUUCAGAUUCAGUUAAACUCACAGAAAUGGAGAAUUCAUUAGAAAUCUUUCCACCAGCUGUUGAAGACCAUAAAGUGUUUUCUUCAGUUCUUGAUGGAGCAAGUUGCACAGUAAAUUCAGAUUCUGAUGUAGAAGAUUUAAGCCAAGCAUCUAAUGUUAGUGAUUCUAGUAGUACAUCUGAAUAUUUUUCUGUUACUGAGGAUCAAAUUUCCUGUUGA
ensembl:lncRNA